CGCCCCUGACUAUGUUAAACAUCUUUGCAAGACCACACAUAUGCUCAUUGUGGUCUGGACGUUUGCUGGGAGGUUAAGCUAAGGGAUCGUCAUAAAUGAUCAAGACACCACAAGCCAAAUAAUUUCUGCUAUAGUAGCUGAUACAUUUAAACUGAUUAAUAAUCAGAAUAUGCAAACUGCACUGGACCUGUGGAUACAAAUCUCUACGUGGUCACUGGCUGCUCUACAGGGAAACAAACAAAGCUAGUAAGCAAGUAAAACCAAGGUGGGGAUUUCACGGCAUACAGUCAGGUGUAUUGUAAAAACUGUACACAUUUUUUAAUUAAAGUAUAUUGGAGAUAGAUUUCUUUUUCAUUAAAGAAAGUAAAAAUUGGAUUGAAAUUUUUUGCCUUUACAUCCCCUUUAAUGAUUUCAUACUGCGUAGAUCGCACAUCUUAGACAGUCAAACACCAUAAAGGAAAUGUGUGGAACCAGAGUAAAAGCUACAAGUCAAAUUAGAAAGUGUGUAGGACCAUAGGGAGUAACACACAACAUCUAAUCUGCUGACUUAUUGUACAUGGAGAAAGCCUGAAUACUUAGCACAAAGGAAAACAGAUGAAGUCAGUGACAAAUCAACAAAUGGCCUUGACACCAGAGGGAUAGGACUACACUGGUAACUGUAACUGCCUGAUGUGACACUAUCUGAUGUAAAUUGCAAUUGGAAAAAAAGCUGCAUUUGUGUCUGUUAUAGUGAGGAGAAAAGAGAAAUCAUCAGCUCAUCGUUGCUAUUCCAAUACUGCAUGAUGGUUGUACUCCACAGGCUUCUGUACUUGAGGAUUUUCACACAAGCCUCUGGCAUAUGGCUAGGAUAAAGAAAGAGAACGGUUACCGCCGAGGAUCUGCUUAUUACAUUACAGAGCUGCCUCUGUGCCAUUUAGCAUGUCACUGCCAAUGGAUAUUGGAUUCCCAGGGAACAUUUUAGCACCGGCCUCAUCAAAGGGAGAUCAUGUACAAUAUAUUUUCUGUAAUGCAUCUAGCAAAUCAUUUUCAUUAAAAUGUCUGAGAAUUUCACAGGCA